CCCUUAGAUGUUCUGGGCUGCACGCGUGCUACAAUGGCGCUUGCAACAAGUCUUGCCAACCCGAUAGGGUGAGCGGAUCUUUGAAGAGGCGUCGUGAUCGGGACAGUUGAUUGCAAUUAUUCGACUCGAACGAGGAAUUCCUUGUAAUCGCGAUUCAUCAUAUCGCGCUGAAUACGUCCCUGCCCUUUGUACACACCGCCCGUCGCUCCUACCGAUUGAGCGAUCCGGUGAAUGUUUUGGACUGGCGUCAGAAGCUGUUCGCUCCUGACACUACGAAAUUUUGUAAACCUUAUCGCUUAGAGGAAGGAAAAGUCGUAACA
rnacentral:rRNA from 1 species